UGCUGGACAAUCCUUCAACUCUAAGGAAUCGGUGAAUGCCAUUGCCAGAGAGAAAUGUACGGAACUCCUACGAUGUGGGUGGAUUUAGUGAGCACGCAGCAAGAGCUGAAGGCUCCGAUUGGCAAGAUUUCGAUCGGUCUGACCGGCGGCUCUCCAGCAUUGCCGGACCUCUUCAGGAGAGCUAGAGAAACUUUCGGGUUUGACUUCAUGAAGUCGAUAUACGGAUUGUCCGGAACCACGUU